AAAAAGACAAACCCUGGGUUUCCGUGCCAACGUUUGACUGUCCGUUUUAUAUGAAAUUUUUUAUAAUUAGUAUUUUCAUUGUUGUUAGAUGAUAAAACAUGAUUAAUACUUUAUACGUGACUUAUCUUUUUAAUAUUUUUUUAUAGUUUUUUUAAAUAAGACAGACGGUCAAACGUUAGACACGGAAACUAGGGUUUGUUUUUUUA
rnacentral:pre_miRNA from 1 species